rnacentral:tRNA from 1 species
GGAAAGUUGCCGGAGUGGUCGAUCGGGACGGUCCCGAAAACCGUUGUACGGGAAACUGUACCGAGGGUUCGAAUCCCUCACUUUCCG